UUCCAGGCCUCACCCACCAGGCUGGAAGAUCUGCCCCUCCCGGGCCUCCGGAUCCUGGCUGGGAGCCAUCUCUGCCUCCUCCCGCUUCCUGGACUCCUGAUCAGAUGAGCAGCCACCAUAGAGUUGGUUUCUGUACUUCAACCUCUCAAUCAAGCCAAAAACACAGCUUCUUGGAGGGACCAGGCCAUCUCUGCAAGAUAUUCCUCAACCGUGACAUCAGCAACCAUCUUAGGCCAUUGGCAGGGAGUGAGCUGACUACUCCCCAGGGUCUCAGGUCCUUUUCCAGGAGUAAAUGACCAUUGUGCACCCAUGGGAAGAGUGCUGCAUCCACGGAGGCCCUGGGCCAACAGUGCUCUGAAAUGGGUUUCAUGAAAGCAUCUGUGACUCAUCCCUGUCCAAGAAUGUUUUCAUUAAGAUUCAGCAAAAGCGAUGUGCCAGGUCAGCAAAUACAACUGCAAAACUGGGACCUGCCAGCCUGGCCAACACAGCAAGACCCCAUCUCUACUAAAAAUUAAAAUUAAAAUUAAUUAGCUGGGUAUGGUG